UACGUAGGCAGCAAGCGUUGUUCGGAGUUACUGGGCGUAAAGGGUGCGUAGGCGGUCCUAUAAGUAUGGUGUGAAAUCUCCCGGCUUAACUGGGAGGGUGCGCUAUAGACUGUGGGACUAGAGUGUGGGAGAGGAAAGUGGAAUUCCUGGUGUAGCGGUGAAAUGCGUAGAUAUCGGGAAGAACACCCGUGGCGAAGGCGGCUCUCUGGGACGGUACUGACGCUGAGACGCGAAAGCGUGGGGAGCGAACAGG
rnacentral:rRNA from 1 species